GACGAACGCUGGCGGCGUGCUUAACACAUGCAAGUCGAACGGAAAGGCCCUGCUUUUGUGGGGUGCUCGAGUGGCGAACGGGUGAGUAACACGUGAGUAACCUGCCCUUGACUUUGGGAUAACUUCAGGAAACUGGGGCUAAUACCGGCUAGGAGCUCCUGCUGCAUGGUGGGGGUUGGAAAGUUUCGGCGGUUGGGGAUGGACUCGCGGCUCAUCAGCUUGUUGGUGGGGUAGUGGCUUACCAAGGCUUUGACGGGUAGCCGGCCUGAGAGGGUGACCGGCCACAUUGGGACUGAGAGACGGCCCAGACUCCUACGGGAGGCAGCAGUGGGGAAUAUUGCACAAUGGGCGGAAGCCUGAUGCAGCAACGCCGCGUGCGGGAUGACGGCCUUCGGGUGGUAAACCGCUUUCGCCUGUGACGAAGCGUGAGGGACGGUAAUGGGUAAAGAAGCACCGGCUAACUACGU
rnacentral:rRNA from 1 species